rnacentral:sRNA from 1 species
AGAUGUUAAUUUUGAUUUUUUGCUACAUGUAUAGCAGAUAGCCCUUUAAUUAGAAGUCUAUCUCUACUACAUACUGAAGUAUGAAGUUUAUGAUUGGUGUCGACAAUCAAGAUGUUUAGUGACCCCCAAAAAUAAUUAUAUAAAA